AACAGGAUUAGAUACCCUGGUAGUCCACGCCGUAAACGAUGUCGACUUGGAGGUUGUGCCCUUGAGGCGUGGCUUCCGGAGCUAACGCGUUAAGUCGACCGCCUGGGGAGUACGGCCGCAAGGUUAAAACUCAAAUGAAUUGACGGGGGCCCGCACAAGCGGUGGAGCAUGUGGUUUAAUUCGAUGCAACGCGAAGAACCUUACCUGGUCUUGACAUCCACGGAAGUCUUCAGAGAUGAGAAUGUGCCUUCGGGAACCGUGAGACAGGUGCUGCAUGGCUGUCGUCAGCUCGUGUUGUGAAAUGUUGGGUUAAGUCCCGCAACGAGCGCAACCCUUAUCCUUUGUUGCCAGCGGUCCGGCCGGGAACUCAAAGGAGACUGCCAGUGAUAAACUGGAGGAAGGUGGGGAUGACGUCAAGUCAUCAUGGCCCUUACGACCAGGGCUACACACGUGCUACAAUGGCGCAUACAAAGAGAAGCGACCUCGCGAGAGCAAGCGGACCUCAUAAAGUGCGUCGUAGUCCGGAUUGGAGUCUGCAACUCGACUCCAUGAAGUCGGAAUCGCUAGUAAUCGUGGAUCAGAAUGCCACGGUGAAUACGUUCCCGGGCCUUGUACACACCGCCCGUCACACCAUGGGAGUGGGUUGCAAAAGAAGUAGGUAGCUUAACCUUCGGGAGGGCGCUUACCACUUUGUGAUUCAUGACUGGGGUGAAGUCGUAACAAGGUAACC
rnacentral:rRNA from 1 species